GCUCCUUUGUUCUUGCUUGUUCUUCCAUUGUUCUUCUUUGUUAUUGCUCUCAUCUUCCGCGAUCGAUCCAUUUCAACGCUUCUACGCCGUCGUCGAUUUGUUUGAAAGAUAAUGGAACGCCAUUGGAUGUACAAUGCUGAUCGCCGCUCCAACGAGUUCAUUGAGGGCGUGCGAGAAUUCCGAAGAGUGGCGGAGCAAAAUAAGCGGGAUGGUUUUAUGUGCUGCCCAUGUGCCGUUUGUAAGAAUUUGAAGGAAUUUUCAAACUCAAGAGAAA